rnacentral:tRNA from 6 species
CGUUGGUCAAGCGGUUAAGACACCGGCCUCUCACGCCGGUAACGCGGGUUCGAUUCCCGCACG